UUCGCAAUGCCCGAAAGGGUGACGAAGCGACGCCGCGUGUGGGAAGAAGGCCUUCGGGUUGUAAACCGCUGUUGGGAGUUAGGAAGUGUGGGAGUGUUAAUAGCGCUUCCACUUGACUAAAGCUCCAGAGGAAGCCACGGCUAACUCUGUGCCAGCAGCCGCGGUAAUACAGAGGCGGCAAGCGUUGUUCGGAAUUAUUGGGCGUAAAGAGCACGUAGGCGGCUCUGUAAGUCAGCUGUGAAAGCCUUCUGCUUAACGGAAGAACAGCAGUUGAAACUACAGGGCUUGAGUGCGGGAGGGGAGAGUGGAACUUCUGGUGGAGCGGUGAAAUGCGUAGAUAUCAGAAGGAACGCCGGCGGCGAAAGCGGCUCUCUGGUCCGCAACUGACGCUGAGUGUGCGAAAGCUAGGGGAGCAAACGGGAUUAGAUACCCCGGUAGUCCUAGCCGUAAACGAUGGGCACUAAGUAGAGGGGUU
rnacentral:rRNA from 1 species